AAUCACGGCGUCUGGCCCCGCUUCAUGCAUUUUUGAUAUCUUUUCGCCCCCAGCACCUGAAGGGGAAGAAUGUGAUCCACCCGUUCCUGUCUCGGAGCCUUCCCAUUGUCUUCGAUGAAUUUGUGGACAUGGACUUUGGCACAGGUGCUGUGAAGAUCACCCCCGCACAUGACCAAAACGACUAUGAAGUUGGGCAGCGGCACGGGCUGGAGGCCAUCAGCAUCAUGGACUCCCGGGGGGCCCUCAUCAACGUGCCUCCGCCUUUCCUGGUGAGGCUGCCUGGGGCAAGAGUGCCUGGGUCAGGGAGAUGGAGGGAUGGCUGGGCAUCGCCAUGAUGAGGCUCAUUCCUACCCAGGGCCUGCCCAGGUUUGAGGCCAGGAAAGCGGUGCUGGUGGCGCUGAAGGAGCGGGGACUGUUCCGUGGCAUUGAGGACAACCCCAUGGUGGUGCCACUUUGCAACCGGUCGAAGGACGUGGUAGAGCCUCUGCUGCGGCCGCAGUGGUACGUUCGCUGUGGGGAGAUGGCCCAGGCUGCCAGCGCCGCUGUGACUCGGGGUGACCUCCGCAUCCUGCCUGAGGCCCAUCAGCGCACAUGGCAUGCCUGGAUGGACAACAUCCGGGAGUGGUGCAUUUCCAGGCAGCUGUGGUGGGGCCAUCGCAUCCCAGCCUACUUUGUCACUGUCAGUGACCCAGCGGUGCCCCCUGGGGAGGACCCUGAUGGGCGGUACUGGGUGAGCGGACGCAAUGAGGCGGAGGCCCAGGAGAAGGCAGCCAAGGAGUUCGGAGUGUCCCCUGACAAGAUCAGUCUCCAGCAAGAUGAGGAUGUAUUGGAUACCUGGUUCUCCUCCGGCCUCUUCCCUUUAUCCAUUUUGGGCUGGCCCAACC
rnacentral:sRNA from 1 species